rnacentral:rRNA from 1 species
UCGAGAAUUUUUCACAAUGGGCGAAAGCCUGAUGGAGCGACGCCGCGUGGGGGAUGAAGGGCUUCGGCCCGUAAACCCCUGUCAUUUGCGAACAAACCUAGUCCGCUAACACCGGACGAGCUGAUUGUAGCGAAAGAGGAAGGGACGGCUAACUCUGUGCCAGCAGCCGCGGUAAUACAGAGGUCCCAAGCGUUGUUCGGAUUCACUGGGCGUAAAGGGUGCGUAGGUGGCGGGGUAAGUUCGAUGUGAAAUCUCCGAGCUCAACUCGGAAAUGGCAUUGAAUACUAUCUCGCUGGAGGGUCGGAGGGGAGACUGGAAUUCUCGGUGUAGCAGUGAAAUGCGUAGAUAUCGAGAGGAACACCAGUGGCGAAGGCGAGUCUCUGGACGAUACCUGACACUGAGGCACGAAAGCUAGGGGAGCAAACAGGAUUAGAUACCCCCGUAGUCC